rnacentral:rRNA from 1 species
UACGUAGGGUCCGAGCGUUGUCCGGAAUUACUGGGCGUAAAGAGCUCGUAGGUGGUUUGUCGCGUUGUUCGUGAAAACUCACAGCUUAACUGUGGGCGUGCGGGCGAUACGGGCAGACUAGAGUACUGCAGGGGAGACUGGAAUUCCUGGUGUAGCGGUGGAAUGCGUAGAUAUCUGGAGGAACACCGGUGGCGAAGGCGGCAUCCUGGACCGACACUGACACUGAGGAGCGAAAGCCAGGGGAGCAAACGGG